GAUGAACGCUAGCUACAGGCUUAACACAUGCCAGUCGAGGGGAAACGGCAUCGAAAGCUUGCUUUUGAUGGGCGUCGACCGGCGCACGGGUGAGUAACGCGUAUCCAACCUGCCCAUCACUUGGGAAUAACCUUGCGAAAGUAAGACUAAUGCCCAAUGACAUCCCACGAAGGCAUCCGAAUGGGAUUAAAGAUUUAUCGGUGAUGGAUGGGGAUGCGUCUGAUUAGCUUGUUGGCGGGGUGACGGCCCACCAAGGCAACGAUCAGUAGGGGUUCUGAGAGGAAGGUCCCCCACAUGGGAACUGAGACACGGUCCAAACUCCUACGGGAGGCAGCAGUGAGGAAUAUUGGUCAAUGGGCGAGAGCCUGAACCAGCCAAGUAGCGUGCAGGAUGACGGCCCUAUGGGUGGUAAACUGCUUUUAUAAGGGAAUAAAGUGGGUCACGUGUGACUUUUUGCAUGUACCUUAUGAAUAAGGACCGGCUAAUUCCGUG
rnacentral:rRNA from 1 species